GCAUUUGUUUAACGUGUGAUUUAGAAACAAUUAAGGAGGACAUUUAAUCCCACGAGAAUAAUCCAAGACACGCAACUGACAAGAUAUAGGACAGCAAAGUUGAUUAACAACAAAUAAACAACCACACAGUGCGUUAAUGCAUAUAUGAUAACGACAAGUCGGAAACUGAUAUCUUUAUGACCGGGAUGUGCCAAGGGUAAUAUUGGCAUAUUGCAAAGUUUGAUGAUAAGGUGCAUUUACCUUCAUCGCGGAUAACUGCAUCGGGGAUAAACAAAGGAAUCCACGUUUGUCAAGAGGUUCAACAGAGAUUAAACUCAGUCCGUACGAAGCCUCCUUUCCAACUUCUCGACUCGCGAGAACACGACAACAUUCUGCCGCCGACUUCAAAUCGAACACUUCUAAGCCCUUCUUCUCCCGUGAUAAGAACUCCGCUACAUAGUUCCCCUCUGAACCUAGAAGCUCAGGGCUUAUAACGUCCGUCGUCGUUACCAAAAUAAUCGGACAUUUCCAGCCUAGUGAUUCUGCUAGAAUAUCAGACUUCACAACACAUCCAGAUCCAAGAGUAAGAAAACCCCGACCAUUUGGAAGCUUCUCACGAAUUCUGCAGACGGCCUGUUCGACUCUGUUCAUUGUAGAUGACGGAUAAUAGGCUAGAAAUCCAUGUAUAAAAGUAUUAGAUCACUGUGCAGGUUUUUGCGA